rnacentral:rRNA from 1 species
UACAGAGGGGGCUAGCGUUGUUCGGAAUUACUGGGCGUAAAGGGCGCGUAGGUGGCCUGUUAAGUCGAACGUGAAAUCCCCGGGCUCAACCCGGGAACUGCGUCCGAGACUGGCAGGCUCGAAUCCGGGAGAGGGAUGUGGAAUUCCAGGUGUAGCGGUGAAAUGCGUAGAUAUCUGGAGGAACACCGGUGGCGAAGGCGGCAUCCUGGACCGGUAUUGACGCUGAGGCGCGAAAGCGUGGGGAGCAAACAGG